GCGUCGGUGGUUCAGUGGUAGAAUACUCGCCUGCCACGCGGGUGGCCCGCGUUCGAUUCCCGGCCGACGCA
rnacentral:tRNA from 1 species